GGGAGGGUAGAAGGAGGGAGGGAGAGGGGAUUCUUCUGACAAGCACAAUUUACAUUGAGAUCGCCCUGCGCUGCUAUUUACUUUGAGACCUGAUUAGUAUGGGUCGUCUACGGUCUCUCUCUCUCCCCCUCUCUCACACACCCCAGCACACACAUCGACAGAGGAGGAUGCAUUGCGAUAGGCGGAAAGGGGGAAUUAAAAGGGAACGAUGUGGGCUCCCCGUGAAAAGUUGGUGGGUUUUUUUUUCUCUUUAUUUCCACCCCCCCCUCUACGUCUGAAAUCAGGAUUUCUCUCUCCUUUCCCAAUUGCAAAAGCCACGCCAGGGGUUUUAAUGAUGGAGAAGAAAACGCGCUCGGUACUCGGACUCUUGCACACGCACACACGUCCGCGCACACACCGACAUCCCCACACAUUCCCAUUCCACUUUGGGCCAUUUUUUGUCGCCCACCCCUCACCUAGUAUGCCACCCCCCACCUCUUCCCACCGCCCCGCUGGACUCAGCGCUUCCCGCGUGGGAAAUCACCACCCCCCCUCCCCUUUAAUUCUUUUUUUUGGGGGGCUGGGGGGUGUGGGAACGUCCAGAACAGCCCCAACCGUCCUGCGCGCAAUGCCGCACCCCACCCCGUCCCCCCCCAUCACCCGCAGAUCCCCUUUCCAAAAGUGAGUUGAUCAGCGCGGGAGGUGGGAAGGGAGGGAUGCGCAGGGGGGGCGGUCACCUCGUUCCGCUCCUCUCCUCUCCGCCCCGCUCCGCCCCGCUCCGCUCCACUCCGCGGCCCCGGCGGCGCGGAGCGGGAAUCGCUGGCGCCGGCUGCCAUCUAGUGGCACCUAUCGGCCGGCCCCGGGGAGCCCGGGGGGGGCCACCAGGCCUGUCUGCGGCCUUGCACACCCCCUUCUCUGUUUUGUUUUGUUUUGUUUUUUCCUUUCUUUAUUUUUAGUAGAAAACUGCACUAGAGAGAAGAAUCCCCUUUUAAUUUGUGUCUCUUCUUUCUCACAAGCCUGCAUUCCCACAGACUUCCCUCUUCUGCCCAGAGGUCUGAAAUUUGCUUUGGGUCGAAAGACUGUGUGUGACAAAGAAGAAACAAACUUAGGAAAAAAAAACAAAAAACCAACAAAACCAAACAACCCAAAUUCCCCAAACCAAACCCUACUCUCCUCUUAUCUCCCACAAAAGUUUAUAAUCAGAUUGGAAGUCGGGGAAAAAUCCUGCAGGGGGAAAGGGGAUGAAAUGUAUGUCAGAAUGUUUUUUGUAAAGGGAGGUUGCUUUCACUUAAAGAAAGAAAGAAAGAAAGAGGAAAAAAAGGCCUCAACUUUGAUGUAUCGUGAUCACUUUUUUCCCUUUUUUCUUUUUUUUUUUUUUUUUUUUCCUUCUUCCCCCCCCCCCAACUCCCUUUCUCUGUCAGCUCUGAAAUCUGAGGCUGGGAGCCGGCUGGAGAGGAGAAUCCUUCAUCAUUUCUGAGAUUAGAAUAAACGCUUGAUUUUGUCUCGAAAUAAUGAAGAGAUUUUCAAUGAGUCCCUUGGCCAAGCCGUCUCUAUUGUAUAUUGCAUUGAUAAAAAGGAUGUUAUUGACUAUGCAACAGUAGGCUCCUUUCCUCUCUCCCCUCUUUCCAAAUAAACUCUCGGUCCUGUCUCUUGGUCAGUGAAAAGGUGAAACGAAUAAGAUUAAACCGGACAAAAAAAGCAAGCUCGGUAUGUAUAUCAUCUAGAUUUUACUCCCCAGACUGUGAAGAGACAGGGAGUAAAAGAGGCAGAGCAAGGCACGGAGAGAGAGGGGGAGAGAGAGAGAGAGAGACAGAGACACAGACACAGACAGAGGCAGAAAAGCCUGAGAGAAGGUGGACGGACCCAGCAGCCCGCAGCUCCUCCUGGCCCCGGCUCCCGGACACCCCGGGACACCCCAGAGCAACAGAGAGCAUGAGUCACAGAUUUUUACGCAGAUCCCAAAACCAACAUGUGUUAGGGCUGACAAAGAGGAGCAGUCUGCAACCUCCAUCGUUGUCCACCACCAGCCUGCAGAAUCAGUGACAGGCACAAAGCUGAACCUUCUCCCCACGUGUCAUAGCCCACGUCCUCCAACUAAACAUCCAACCAUGUUUUGGUAUUGGUCUCCCCAGCCAGGUCUUCCACCUGGCUCAGGGAUGUGCUCCAGACAUUGUCCCGGAAGGAGAAAGAUGCUUGCUGAACCAAAAAUUUCUCUCUUUCCCUCAAAACAUGAGCAUCAGAACAUUUAUCGUAGGACACCGCAUCCACAUGGAGAACUUCUUGCAGCAGAACAAGAGGGUAAGGAAAGACCUACAGAUUUCCAGGUGAUUGUCUCCUGAAAGUGGAAACACUGCUGGUGCUGUGACUUGUGGUCUACAAGUGGAAGCUUCUUCCCCUUAAGAAUUGAUGUUGUAUCAUUUCUUAGUCUGUGUUAGCGACAAAUAGCCUUGCUUAGUUUAAAGAACCACUGUCAGGAGCUGAAGAGCCAUUGGUUUUGAUGAGCACCAAACAGGCUAAGACUGGUCUGUUUUUUUUUUUCCAGAAACAUUUGAAAAACAACUACUGCCAUGGUCACAAGGGAACAGUGAUCCCUCUCCAUAAAUUCAAUUUGUUCAUAACCUUUUGACACAGACCAUAAAUAACCUUCGUAUAUUUCACACACACGGACACAUGAAUUAAAUUACAUGAGCAACGUAUAUAAAUAUUUACUUUACAGAAAUACAACCCAAAUAUAAAGUGCCACAUGAACAACCCAUCUAUUAGCAAAUGGUUAAUUCCCUGUGUCAAUAGAUAACCGGAUUACAUGCCUACCUGCUCCUUUUGCUGUGCCAGUCUGCUCAUUGCAGGCACAAAAUGGUAGCAAAGAAAAUAUUAAUCAAUUGAUAGUGGGGCUGUUUCAGCAAAGGUUACAUCAGAGACAAAGGAAAGGGAAGGCUGAGUUCUGGCUCCAGAAAAGGCUUGUUAUAAUUUUCUGGAGUAGGCUAUGAUAUCUAGAAAAGGUGAGAAAAAAGAAAUAAUGAAAAAGAAGUUGGUUUUAUUUCUGAAAAUUGUUCUCAGUGGGUUUAUUUGAUAAGUUUUAUUUGCGCACAUGACUAGUGUGAUAAUAAUAGCAAAAAACCUAAAAGAAUGUGCCAGAAUUCCAAGAUGCUAAAUCAGAAGAUAUUUAUGGGAGAGAAUAGUAGCUAUUCCUUUAGCUUUGUACCUAAAAAUGAGGUAUCCCACAGGAAUUAAAAACAUUGAUUUUCUGAUUUUUUUUCCAAAUUCCUCUUUGUGUUUUAAAACCUGCAAAAGAUAUCCUGUCUGGAGCACUAGAUGCUCUAUGUUUUAAAACACAAAAUAAAAAACACUGAUAAUACUUAGGGUAGAAAAAUAACUGGAUGUAUAUGUAUGGAAGUAUUGAAAUUUGGUGCGUGCUUCAAUGUUAGUAUAAUUUCUUGCCGAAGAUUCAGGGAAAAAGAUUAAAUUAAUAAAUGAUUUAAUAUUUUUUUAAAAAAUAAGUUAUUAAAUGUGUACCUGUCGAAUAUAAUGAUGGUGAUUUGCAUUUUUGAAGGAAAAAAGGGAGAUUGUUAAGCAGUGGAAAGCAGAGAACAAUUCCCACUGCUGGAAAUCUCUAUGGUACCUUUUUUUCAACUUUGUUGACAGUGCAUCCUCUUCCAUGAGAGACUGCUGGUGUGUCCUGUUACCAUGAGGUAACACAGGGCUGGACAACAGCUAGAUUGAACACAUACAUAUAUAUAUAUAUGUAUGAGGAAUACAGAAACUCUCUACUUCUUGUAUAACUUUAGGUGACUAGGAUUGCAACUCUAGAAAGUUCAAGAACAAAAUGGGCAGAGAGCAGGCAACCUCCUCCUUCCCAGGCAUGAGAUAAGGAAACCUUAUGGAGAUAAAGAAACCUUAUGGAGAUAAAAGGAUGUUGCAAACUCAAAUACAUCCUUCUGAAGCAAUGAGCAAACCCAUCCAUCCAUUUUAAUGAAAAGAGAUCAAAUUUCCUUGUGACACACGUAACAGCUAUACAGACACUGCUGCAGGUUUGGUGUCACCCACAAUUAACCAGUUGCCACCCCUGGGCUGUGGAAACCUGAGGAGGGAUCUCACUGCAAGGGAUGUCCUGGGUUGCUGUGGACCAGCUGAAAUUGGUCUAUUUUAUGACUGUGAAUCAAAAGGGUUACCUUUUGAUAAUGCCUAUUUAAUUCAAAAGCAAGUAAUUUGGUAGUCAUUAAACCUCUUGCAGCAUCGAGUAGUUAACUUUAUGUUGUGACAAGUAGAGGAAAUUGUGGUAGCACAAGGUAUUCUCUUAAUUAAAUACUAAAAUAUGGAGUAAUAGAAUCAUAGAAUCACAGAAUGUUUUGUGUUAGAAGGACCCAGCCAUGAGCAGGGACAUCUUCACCAGCUCAGGUUGCUCAGAGCCCCGUCCAGCCUGGCCUGGGAUGUCUCCAGGGAUGGUUCAUCCACCACCUCUCUGGCCAAACUGGGACAGGUUCUCACCACCCUCAGGGACACCAAUUUCUUCCUCAUGUCCAGCCUGAAUCUUCCUCCUUUAGUUUAAAACCAUCACCCCUUGUCCUGUCAUGACAGGCCCUGCUCUAGUCUGUUCCCAUCUUUCUCAUGGGCCCCUUUUAAGUCUAGAAAGGCCACAAUAAGGUGUCCCUGGAGCUUCUCUUCUCCAGCUGAACACCCCAACUCUCUCACCUGUCCCCCAGCAGAGCUGUUCCAGCCUCGGGUCAUUCCUGUGGCUCCUCUGGCCCCUCUCCAGCAGCUCCAUGUGUGUCCUGUGCCCAAGUCCUUCUCCUGGGAGCUGCUCUCCACCCCUGCAUCCCAGCCUGGACUGAUAGUGGGGGUUACCCUGAUCCAGAUACAGGACAUUGCACUUGGCCUUGUUAAACCACAUGAGGUUCACAUGGGCCGACUUCUCCAGCCUGUCCAGGUCCCUCUUGAUGACAUCCUGUCCCACAGAUGUGUCAACUGGAUCAGUCAACUUGGUGUCAUCAAAAUGUAAGGUAUAUGGGUGCAAAUAAUGAAAUAAUAAAUAAAUCUGUGGUCAAAACACUUGAAAUGAUUGCAUGGCUCUACCACAGUUUUAAUUGUGAUUAUCUCACCUCAUUUGGGUCCACCUUUCCCCAGAACUUUCAGUUUUUAAAUCAAAUGAGGGGCAAAACUCCUAUGCCUUCAUGUUUUCCCCCAAAGCAGUUGGAAACAAUCUGGCUUCAGCUUUAUUUGUUUUAAUUGGAUUUUAGUAAAGUAGAAAGUUAAAGCAGGACCUCAAGAACUCAAAGAAAUUUCAGAGUUGAAACUCUGCCAGGUUAACAUAAAUAGAUUAGCGCAUACACUGACAGGCCAGGAGCAGUUAAGAAUAAAAGAUCAAAGAAGCUAUGAAAAAUAAAAAUAACCGGAGAUCUCUAGAACAGAUAAAAUAUUAUUAAAUUAAUUACCAGUGCAAGUGGUACAUGUGUAGACAGUACCACGUGCUGAAGCAAGGGGACAGCCAGUUCAGAUGUUGGAUUUCUCUGUUCCUUCAUUUCUUCCUUUCUCCCCUUCAUUAAUGAUAUAGGAGGGCUGUUUCUGACCAUGCAUUUCACUAGAGUUUUAUCUGUUUAAGGAUGAUUCUGCAAAUUAAUUUGGGAUGCUACAGCAUAAACCAGUGGAUUAUGCUUUCAAAUAAAGUCUACAGACAUUACCUUCUAUUUUAUUUUUCCUGUUUUCACCACAUUAUCUCAGUUGACUAUCUUACAGUGGUUGUGAUUAAACAUUUAAAGUAACACCAGUUACUAUACCACAGUGUCUGAAAUACUGAGCCCAUUUGCUCCAAUAAGAUAGAUACAUCAGGAUAAAUAUUUUAAUGACAGUCAGUCAUUUAUUUUUCUCCAUGAUUAUUGUUAAAAGCACUCAAGUAUUAAUAGAUUUUUGUUACACAUCCUCAUUGUCAACACUUACCAAUACUCAGAACUUAACCUUUUUCUAGUGAAUCAGUUCCCCCCCCACUUUUAAUGCAUUUUUGUUUCUAAACUCUAUUCCAAGGUCACUUUUAACAGAAAAUAAAAAUGUGGCCUUAACAGGCUGAUGUAUGGCUUGAAAACGAUGGAGCAAUUUGAAGCAUUCAGUAAUAGCAAAUUACCAGGACUGAAUGACCUCCCUCCAGAAUUCUGAAGUGAGGAAAUUAUUAAGUACAGUGUGUAUAGAUGAGAAUAUAUAUUGUCUUUUUAAGAUAGUAAUAAUAAUAUAUAGCACCCCCAUUCUCCUUCUUAGUGCUUGAAAGGCACUAAUACUGUUAAUUUCAGGGUUUUGAGUAUUUUUGUAAAAAAUGGUGCAGGAUUUGAGACUUGUUUCAGUGCUGGGAAAACUUUUGAGUUCUUCUGAAGAAGACGAUAAUGCAGGACUUGGCAGGAGAAUAACCUGAAAGGUCCAAAACAAUAAUGCUUCUGCAAACAGGUCCUGAACUAGGGCAAAACAGGUAGAAGUGAGCAAGGAGUAAAAAAUCCCUGGACUUUCAAAAAUCUUACAAUAAGGGUAAUCUAAAUAGAGUGUUGAAGGAAAUAAAUUGCAGUGUAGGGAGGAAUGGAUUCCUACCUUGGAUUAAACUGGGCCAUAUUUAUUACUUGUAGUUCAUUGGUCCUCUCCCCACAGCAUGAAUAUGAAUUAAAAUUGUGUUGCUGUGUUAUUCUGUAUGUGUCUAUACAGCUGGCUGGGAAGGAGAAGGCUUACCGUCAACACGUUGCUCUGGGGGAUCUGUAAAACUAAUUUGGCCAGUGAAAGGCUGUUGGGGCAACCAAGAUGGCUGUUGACUUAUGACUGUCUCUGCCAUAUUUAAAAUAAUAGUAAUACCUCAACCAGCAAUUAAAGAAAGUGGUGUUGUUUUUUGUGCUCUAAACCUGUAAAAAAAUAUAGGCAUCAGUGUUAUAUUGUCAUACUAUCUACAUGGUUGGGUGAAGGAGCACAUCCAGGUUUGUUCAGCUCACUUUGGAAAGGACACCCUUGUCACUCAUUGACACACCUUGGAUACAGGUUUUAUUCAGCGAGUUGGAUUUCAAAGCAAGUGGUUAGACCUCAGUCUGGGACUACCUCACCUUGAAUUCACCCAAAGACUGUAAAAGAGAAGACUAGUUGCAUGGAAAAAAGUGAACAACAAAGAACAUCUCCUCUGUUCUAUGCAGACCCACAGAUCAAAAAUAGAAGGGCACAAAGAUGGAGAGAAAUAAAGAUUAAUUCCUUUAUCUGGCUUGAAAUAAAACUGGAAUCCAGUACCAUUCAGUCAAAUAUUUUGACUGGAUUUUUUAAAAGGAUUGGAUUAGUCCUUUCGCAGAGUCAUGGAGUCAGGGAAUAGUUGGGGUUGAAGGGACCUCUGGAGAUCACCCUGUCCAACCCUACUGCUAAAGCAGGUUCACCAGAACAGAUCACUCAGGUGGGUCCAGGCAGGUUUGAAUGUCUCCAGAGAAGGAGACUCCACAUCCGCUCUGGGCAGCCUGGGCCAGGCUCUGGCAAAGAAGUUUCUGCUCACGUUCAGAUGGAACCUCUUGUGUUUCGGUCUGUACCCAUUGCCCCUCACUCUGUCGUUGGGCACCACUGAACAGAGUCUGGUCCAUCCUCUUGACGCCCACCCAGAAAAGAUGCUCCAGAUUCCUCAUCAUCGUUGUGGCCCACUGCUGGACUCUCCAGUAAUUCCUUGUCCUUCUUGAACUGGAGAGCCCAGAACUGGACACAGUAGUCUAGAUGCAGCCCCAUUGUUAUUAUUCACUGUAGUUACUCAUAUAAACAGAUAACUAUGUGACUAUUGAAGCUGAAUGCUUUUUUCCAGCUUCAAAAUUAUACAACUGAGAGCGAAGUUUGGCUAUCUAAAAGCAAUCAAACCCAAUACUUCAUGCUGUACAGUAACCUUUUUGCCUGAAGAGGUCAGGAAGGAAAUAUUUUCCCAUGCUAAUGGGUAAUCUCAGUUUUAUUUCUCAGCAGUUGACAUGUUCCUGAGAUUUUUGCUUGUUAAUGCUGGAGACACAACAUGCCACUGCUCAAUUCUUUGUGGCAGGGUUGUUACUACUCCAGUUAGGAGGAAACAUUUAACACAGCAGAAAACAGGGAAUAGUUGCUCCUUUUGCUUCUCAAACUAUGGCUCAAUCACUCCUCUAUGGUCCUCCAACUUUCUGUCUACUUCCUUACACUUUCAGUCAAUAAAAUGUAAAUUUGAAGGUACCCUGUAAUUCUCUGUGCCCUAUUAAACCACAAGCAAACACAUAAGUGAUGCAGAGCAUGGGAUAACGGCGGCUUUCCUGAGCACAUGGGUACAAAACUUGUCGAGUACACCUCUGCCUAAUGAGAAAGCACAAGUGUUCUGACAAGCAAGAACAACAAAUAAUAAUAAUAAUAAAAAUCGCUAUCCUGUCAAAUACUGUGUGCAUAUCAAGGAUCCGGAAUACAAAGCAGACUUAACAGCAAUCACAUUUUGAGUAGAAUUCGCUUGAAUGUAACACCUUCUCCCUCUAAGGUUUUGAGUGUGGUAUCUUAAAGAAGAUCACACAAAUUACUCAUUGUGGGAACAAAGGCUCUUUUUUGAAAGUUGUCAGCUUGCUGACAGUUAUGAUGAGCAUUUACUUCAGGCUUGUAAAACAUAUUAAUCAAACUUGUUCCUAUAGCUUCAGUCCAAGGAGGGUUACUGUUUCUUUUAGAGCAAUGUUUUACAUAAGUAAAGAGCUCUGAAUACGUGUACACCUUGAAUGCAAACCACCGUCUCUGCCAUUCAUUUGUUCGUGAUGAAUAAAUACUAGUCUACACCACGCAUAAGGAAGAUUGAAGUAGUGUAUGGAAAUCUGUUUAUUACAAAACUAUUUGCCAAAGACCUAUGCACCAUUCGUUGAACCUUGAGAAACAUUUGAAAAUAUGGGUUGCAUUUGCAAACUUCAAUGUAUGACAUGGAGAGCUGGCAAGCUGCCUGGUUUCUACUUAAAGGAUUGUCAUUCUGGGAAAAAUAAAUUUCUCUAACUAGACAAAAGUCAAUGUUUUCAUGUUUUACUGCAAUCAAACUGAUAUGGCUGACAAUUUAAUGUCUCAACACUUAAAAUAUCUGUGGAUAAUCAGUUACCUCAAUCAAUCACAACUACAAGAUUUCUCUAUUUUCAGAGUCUGUAUACAUAUGACUGAGAUAUUAAAGUUUAGAGAAAACUCCCUAUCCUUAAUCCUUUAUGAUUUCUCUUGAGUUGUGCAGUUCUUUUAUCUUUAUUUUUUUCCCCCCAAAUGCACGAUUUUAUAAUUAUAGGAAAAAAAUAAUCCAACCCUACACUGUAAUCAGAUUUUGAAACCUUUUGUGUUAAUGUCCUGUUUUAUUUAAUUUUAUGUAUAUUUUAUAGUCUGCUUGGCUGUCAAAAAGAUGUGGAAAUGUGCUGGCAUUCCAGCUGAAGACAUCAUUAUGAGUGAGAAAAUGCUCAAGGCUUUUUCAAAGUGGGUGCUGAAACAUACGUUUCUCUUCUUUGACUCCAGGGGAUGCUAACAGCUGCCCCAGCAGACAGGUAUUGCAGGGUCAAAGGCUAGCAGAGCUGUGCACCUCCAGGAUUUGACUGCCAGCAAAGUAGAUGGGUAGUUGCUCAAAACUAAUAAUAAAAAUAGCAACAAUGAUGAGAAGAAGAAGGAGCUGACAACAAAAAUGAAAAGGAACCCGCAAGAAGUGAAUUCUGGGUAGCACAACACUUGGCAGAGCUGAUUUUAAUAUCUGACAGGUUGAGUUCACUAAUCUUUGCUAUUCAUACUGACGUGAAACUUCAUACAGUUUUAGAGAUUUGUAUCUAUUAAGACAUGCAGCAGUGUUCCUACAACAUGGGAACAAGUUUGCUGGCGCCUGCCAUUCUUCUUCCUCCGUGAUAAAAAUUGGUAUGAACUGUUUUAAACGCCUAACAGAUAAUUACUCUCAACACUCAAUAAGGAGAACUACAUCUUUAGAGCCUCCUUUAUCUUUAAAAAACAAUAAAAAAAAUGCCAAAAAACAAGCCCCCAAACACACCAACAAGACAAAACAACCUUCUUCCCCCCUCUUCCCCCCUCUCUUUUGUUUCUUUGAUUACUUGGAGCCCUGUAAUCAAACUAAGCUUAGUUUUGGGACCCUUGGGGCAGUAUCUCUUAGUUCCCUGUCAGGCUGCAUUGCAAAACAAUCAAUCUUGCUCUUGCACUGGCUUGGUGGAAGUGCCACGACACGAGGACUGCAAUGCUUUGCUCUCGCUGUGUGAAGCUUCGAUGACAAAAGUUUUUAUCAGAAGCUGACUGUAUUUAGGGUUAUGAAUAUGCAAUGACUCUCAUUAGUAUUGAAGCACAGGAGCACGGGCUGACAUCCCCCGCCACUUUUAGCUGCUGCAGAGUCGUCUAAUGAAUUGUCUUGCUCUUUCACUUGCGCAGCCUUUGCUGCUACGGCUCCCCGUUCCGAGGGGAGUUGCCCAGUUUGAGAACGCUAUUGACGGCAGAAAUUAAUUGCCACGAACUGCUCUUGAUUUUGUGCAACAGGGUUGAGACUGUGUUUAAAUUGUCAAAACAGAAAACCAUUAGCCUCUCCAGGAGACAGGAUCAUCGCGAGUGAGAGGACCCGCGUGUCCAUACGUGUGGCCGUGCACGAGCUCCCAGGUGUGGCACAGGUGUGUGUGUAUGGUCUUGUAACCACACCUGUGUGUACAAACACUUGUGUGCGUAUUGGUGACGGGCCUCAGAAACCCGGCACCCUACUGAUUUAUGUGUUAUUUUUCCAAUCAGAACAAACGAGGAUAAUGGAAAGCUCUCCAAAUGAGCAGGACUCUAACACAUUGCUAUUUGAUCAACCCUUUAAUACUCUUCCUUUCCCCUUUGGGACCCUGCCAAACAUUUUUCAGCUCACACAUCUGCAAUCUUUAUGAAUAAGUUACUGAUAAGGAUGUUUCCAACAAAUGAUUAAGAUAUCUGGCUUGAUUUGUCAUAUUUGAGGAGAUGUGUAAGCUUUCAGAAACAAGUAGAAAUGACCUUUUUUUUCCCAAUUGGUUAAAUUAAGUAUUUUUUUUCCCUAUUCAUCUGAAAUUUCUUCUGACAUAAAAGGAGCUUUUGUGGCUCUCUGCAGAUUGUGAAGGAUAGAGUGAAUUGAAACAGAUAAUAUAUUCCAAGAAGUGUAAGUGGCAUUCUGAAAGGUGUGCGUGUACUACAAAUAAUAAAGUAUAUGAGGUUCUCCCAAGAAGAUAACAGCCCUGUGCAGCUUUUUAUCCAUUUAAUCAGUAAUGGAAAUGGUCCCAGUGCAAGGAAGGAGGAUCUGUUUAAUUUUUACUGCGAUUUUUGGCACCAUUGCUCUAACGUAAGCUUGGCUUACCUCUUGACCCAGCCCCAGGAGUGCCUGUUCUCAUCAGCUGGAGAAAAAAUAAACAUAAAGAACAUCUACAUGUUGGGAGUAUCAAAUACAAGAGCAGUUUAAAAUAAAUGCAGUUCUGACAAAAGUGGCUCAAGUAUCAUACAUCAAACACUUGUUACCUCUCUUGGCCUUAGUGAUUGCACGUGACUAAGAAAGAGUGAGUGAUAAAAUCUGAAGAAAGAUGAAACCAAUCUGGGCCUUUUUAAAGAUCAUCAAUCAUUCUGCGCAGCCAUGAUAUUAUUAGUUCCAGUAAGCCUUGUUCUCCCAUUUUAUGGACAUCAUAAACCCUCCACCCCUAGACCAAUGCUACCAUGGGAAAUCAUUUUUAUGGGCAGCAUCUUAGUGUGGGCCAAUCAGAUCUAAUCACAUAACAAGCUACUGAAUUAUUCAACGUUCUCCCUAAUUUUGCAUUCUUCCUGCACUUUGCUGUCACUGCAGGGUUUUAAAAGUAUGUGUUUUUACAAUAUUUAUUAAGAAGAUAACCAUACGCAGGAAUUUUGCUUUCUCUAUGUCUUUCAAUAAUUGUUUGUUCCCUUAGAUUGUUGCAGUAUAUACAUUACUAUAUUGAGUAUAUUUUUUCUAAAAGGAAUAGCAGUCCACAAUGUGGCACUAGGCUUUAAAGUCUUUCAGCUUUUAAAAUACCGAAUGUAAGGACUACAAUAGUGAAACAAUUGUGUUCAAACAUAAAAUAUUCAGAUUUACUGAGCAAACUGUAACCAGCAUGUCUCUUAGCUGUUGCUAUGAAUACAGGGCUCACAUUGUAUAUGAAAAUAUUUCAGUUUUAAUUGCAAAUCUGUGCAGAGAUGAUUUGGGGUCUGUAAUUAGCACAUAAAUUCCAGACUUUGUGACUGCUGUGAAAACACACAUUAUUUAUGGAACGAUUAUCUAAAUAUAAUUCAGUGUUUUUCGCUUUCAACAACUACUGUAAAAGUCUGAUUUAAUAAAAUGUGAAAAAUU